CUUGACUGUAGCUUGGAAUUGGGUUCGGGCUCUUCUUGCGCAGCCUAGGUGGGAGGCGUUGAAAGCUUUCUUUUGGGGAAGCUGGAGCCAUCAGUGAGAGACCACUCUGGAGGAGCUAGAAUUCUAAUGGCGUUCCUUGAAGCAGGACGCUUGACAGUUUCAGGUGGGCAGUUUGACUGGGGCGGUCACCUCCUAAAAGGUGACGGAGGUGUGCAAAGGUUCCCUCAGGCUGGACGGAAAUCAGCCGUAGAGUGUAAAGGCAGAAGGGAGCUUGACUGCAAGACCUACAAGUCGAGCAGGGGCGAAAGCCGGCCUUAGUGACCCGACGGUUCCAUGUGGAAGGGCCGUCGCUCAACGGAUAAAAGUUA
rnacentral:rRNA from 1 species